rnacentral:rRNA from 1 species
ACUGCUCAGUAACACGUAGUCAACAUGCCCAGGGGACGUGGAUAACCUCGGGAAACUGAGGAUAAACCGCGAUUGGUCAUUACUUCUGGAAUGGGUAAUGACUUAAAUCUAUAUGGCCCCUGGAUUGGACUGCGGCCGAUCAGGCUGUUGGUGAGGUAAUGGCCCACCAAACCUGUAACCGGUACGGGCUCUGAGAGGAGGAGCCCGGAGAUGGGCACUGAGACAAGGGCCCAGGCCCUAUGGGGCGCAGCAGGCGCGAAACCUCUGCAAUAGGCGAAAGCUUGACAGGGUUACUCUGAGUGAUUUCCGUUAAGGAGAUCUUUUGGCACCUCUAAAAAUGGUGCAGAAUAAGGGGUGGGCAAGUCUGGUGUCAGCCGCCGCGGUAAUACCAGCACCCCGAGUGGUCGGGACGUUUAUUGGGCCUAAAGCAUCCGUAGCCGGUUCUACAAGUCUUCCCGUUAAAUCCACCUGCUUAACAGAUGGGCUGCGGAAGAUACUAUAGAGCUAGGAGGCGGGAGAAGGCAAGCGGUACUCGAUGGGUAGGGGUAAAAUCCGUUGAUCCAUUGAAGACCACCAGUGGCGAAGGCGGCUUGCCAGAACGCGCUCGACGGUGAGGGAUGAAAGCUGGGGGAGCAAACCGGAUUAGAUACCCGGGUAGUCCCAGCUGUAAACGAUGCAGACUCGGUGAUGAGUUGGCUUAUUGCUAACUCAGUGCCGCAGGGAAGCCGCUAAGUUUGCCGCCUGGGGAGUACGGUCGCAAGACUGAAACUUAAAGGAAUUGGCGGGGGAG